rnacentral:rRNA from 1 species
UAGGGAAUCUUCCGCAAUGGACGAAAGUCUGACGGAGCAACGCCGCGUGAGUGAAGAAGGAUUUCGGUUCGUAAAACUCUGUUGUUAGGGAAGAAAAAAUGUAUAGUAACUAUAUACAAAAGAGACGGUACUUAACCAGAAAGGGACGGCUAACUACGUGCCAGCAGCCGCGGUAAUACGUAGGUCCCGAGCGUUGUCCGGAUUUAUUGGGCGUAAAGCGAGCGCAGGCGGUUAGAAAAGUCUGAAGUGAAAGGCAGUGGCUCAACCAUUGUAGGCUUUGGAAACUGUUUAACUGGAGUGCAGAAGGGGAGAGUGGAAUUCCAUGUGUAGCGGUGAAAUGCGUAGAUAUAUGGAGGAACACCGGUGGCGAAAGCGGCUCUCUGGUCUGUAACUGACGCUGAGGCUCGAAAGCGUGGGGAGCGAACAGG